GAAUAUUGGACAAUGGGCGCAAGCCUGAUCCAGCCAUACCGCGUGGGUGAAGAAGGCCUUCGGGUUGUAAAGCCCUUUGGAUGGGAAAGAAAAGCAGCCGGCUAAUACCCGGUUGCUCUGACGGUCCCCAAAGCAUAAGCAUCGGCUAACUUCGUGCCAGCAGCCGCGGUAAUACGACGGGUGUAAGAGUUACUCGGAAUUACUGGGCGUAAAGCGUGCGUAGGUGGGUGUUUAAGGCUUUUGUGAAAGCCCUGGGCUCAACCUGGGAAAUGCAGUGGAUACUGGGCGACUAGAGUGUGGUAGAGGGUAGUGGAAUUCCCGGUGUAGCAGUGAAAUGCGUAGAGAUCGGGAGGAACAUCCAUGGCGAAGGCAGCUUCCUGGACCAACUCUGACACUGAGGCACGAAAGCGUGGGGAGCAAACAGG
rnacentral:rRNA from 1 species